rnacentral:rRNA from 1 species
UACGGAGGAUCCUAGUGUUAUCCGGAUUUAUUGGGUUUAAAGGGAGCGUAGGCGGGAGGUCAAGUCAGCUGUGAAAUGUAUCUGCUUAACGGGUACACUGCAGUUGAAACUGGUUUUCUUGGGUGCGUAAGAGGCAGGCGGAAUUCGUUGUGUAGCGGUGAAAUGCUUAGAUAUGACGAGGAACUCCUAUUGCGAAGGCAGCUUGCUGGGUCGUUACUGACGCUGAUGCUCGAAGGUGCGGGGAUCAAACAGGAUUAGAUACCCU